UUCGCCUUCAUGAAGCCGGAAUUGCUAGUAAUGGCAGGUCAGCAUACUGCCGUGAAUACGUUCCCGGGCCUUGUACACACCGCCCGUCACACCAUGAGAGUUGGGGAUACCCGAAGCCUGUGAGCUAACUUUAUAAGGAGCAGCAGUCGAAGGUAGAAUCAAUGAUUGGGGUGAAGUCGUAACAAGGUAUC
rnacentral:rRNA from 1 species